GACGAACGCUGGCGGCGUGCUUAACACAUGCAAGUCGAACGGAGUGGCGAAAGGGUGAGUAACACGUGGGUGAUCUGCCUUGCACUCUGGGAUAAGCUUGGGAAACUGGGUCUAAUACCGGAUAGUGCAAGAUGAGCUCGCGGCCUAUCAGCUUGUUGGUGUGGUAAUGGCCUACCACGGCGUCGACGGGUAGCCGGCCUGAGCGGGUGUUCGGCCACAUUGGGACUGAGAUACGGCCCGGACUCCUACGGGGGGCAGCAGGGGGGAAGAUUGAACGAUGGGCGGAAGCCUGAUGCAGCGACGCCGCGUGGGGUAGGACGGCCUUCGGGUUGUAAACUCCUUUCGACAGGGACGCGGUACCUGUAUAAGAAGCACCGGCUAACUACGUGCCAGCAGCCGCGGUAAUUC
rnacentral:rRNA from 1 species